rnacentral:lncRNA from 1 species
ACUAGGAAGUUGAAUAAAUCUCAUAGGAGUUAAGAUGAAGAAGCUAUUCCACUUUCAAAUCAGGUGAUUCCAAUUUUCCUGUUUGGGAAUAUGACAACUUCUUCAUCAUUCUAAUCAAACUAGUAUGAACCGCGAUGUAAGAAGCUGUAUUUGGACACAUAAAGUAGUGGAGAAUCACUAGGAAGUUGAAUAAAUCUCAUAGGAAUUAAGAUGAAGAAGCUAUCCCACUUUCAAAUCAGGUGAUUCCAGUUUUUCUGUUUGGGAAUAUGACAAUUUUUUCAUCAUUUUAAUCAAACCCGGAUGAACCGCGAUGUAAGAAACUGUAUUUGGACACAUAAAAUUGUGGAGAAUCACU